AUCAUAUGUGAGGGAGAUGUCUAUCAACGCACGUCAGUCAAGCAUUUUAAUCUUCACAUUCUCCAAGUGCAUUUGAACCAUAUGGCACUUUACCACUGGAUAAUUCAAAUCAGAUUAGACCUCAAGUUACUUCUAUUGAAAGAGUUUGAUGAGUCUGAUCAGCAAUUUGCUUGUUACGGCUCUAAUGCAGAGUGUCUUCAGUGCAUAGUCAUACAUGGAAUUUCAUUUGAUUCUCAUCUGAUGAACUGUUGAUCAGUGUGAUAAUGUUGAACAAACGGAAGUGUCGCACCCAAGUGAUAAUUAAUAUUUGAUUGAAUUCCCACUAAUUAAACAAUAAUGAAUAUUUGAUUGAAUAGCCCACUCCUCCAGCUUGGUUUUAGUGCAGCCUAGUGUGCUGUGAAUCACUUCUCUUCCCCAUGCUGUUUUUGGCACAUCCUGUAUUUAAACCUAGUGUCUUUAAUCACCCCAUUCAACCCCCACAGUCAGCAUUUCGGCCCGGGCCCCAUUCAGAAUACCCAUAAUUGGACGGAAAGUGUCAAAACCUCCUGUUUGCCCAUACUCAGGUAGAGCCACUGUGUCCUGCACUGGACAGCUUGGGCACUGUCCAGCUUGGCUAGAACAGGGAUGCAUUGUCCCACACAUUUUACGCUCCAGCAGAAGAGGUCCAGUGGGCCCUGUUUGUUGCUCUUUAGAGAAGACCAUUCUCCACAACAUUAAAGACAGACCUGCAAAUGUGCUUUUAAGUGCAAGAGUGAGAUGUUUUCAGCUAACAUCAAGCUGCUAAUGAUUUUAAUGAGAGCUCCUUGUAGAGUCAUCUUUUUUUCAUUGAAUACAUCACACUAAAACAAAAUCAAUGCACAAGAUUAAUUAAGGCCCUUUUAGAUGCCUUCUGCUGUUUUUUUUUUUCUUUUCACCCACUCUCUCUCUUUCCCCGUCUCUCUAAGCCUCUCCAGAUGAGGGGAUGCUGUGCUGUAUUUAAGCGUGGUUAUUUGACAUUUAGAUGCAAGGGGGAAUAAAAAGAGAGGGGGAGACAGUAACAAACACAGGGACAGUUUUUGACAGUUCUUUGUCAUGCCGGAGAGAAGAAAGGGGGCCGACUGUCAGAUGCUACUUUGAAGCUCCGGAAAUUUGUAAUGAAAAAUUUAAGCUACAAGAGAGAGGGGGCGAAAAAAAAAAGAAAGUCGAGCCAUUCAUUUGGCCCUGCAUACAUUAGCGGCUUGGUAAUUCAAAGGUUUUUGCUAUGUGUUUUUGUCAUUUGGACUGUAAUAAAUAUCUUAGAGAAUUGCUUUGAUAUUCCAAAAUUGUCUCUGUGGCUGGUCCACGUUAAGAGAAAAGGGGGGAAAUAAUCAUCAGGACUCCUGGCUCUAAUGAGAAGGUCAUUGCACCCUAAUUAUCACAGGCAGCUCUGCCUCAGCCCUUCAAAGAGCCCCAUGAGCACACCAGUGCUGUAGACAAUACACCAUGCACAAACACACACAC